rnacentral:rRNA from 1 species
AUUUAUUGGUCUUGGAUGGACUCGCGGCCUAUCAGCUUGUUGGUGAGGUAAUGGCUCACCAAGGCGACGACGGGUAGCCGGCCUGAGAGGGUGACCGGCCACACUGGGACUGAGACACGGCCCAGACUCCUACGGGAGGCAGCAGUGGGGAAUAUUGCACAAUGGGCGCAAGCCUGAUGCAGCGACGCCGCGUGAGGGAUGACGGCCUUCGGGUUGUAAACCUCUUUCAGUAGGGAAGAAGCGAAAGUGACGGUACCUGCAGAAGAAGCGCCGGCUAACUACGUGCCAGCAGCCGCGGUAAUACGUAGGGCGCGAGCGUUAUCCGGAAUUAUUGGGCGUAAAGAGCUCGUAGGCGGUUUGUCGCGUCUGCCGUGAAAGUCCGGGGCUUAACCCCGGAUCUGCGGUGGGUACGGGCAGACUAGAGUGCAGUAGGGGAGACUGGAAUUCCUGGUGUAGCGGUGAAAUGCGCAGAUAUCAGGAGGAACACCGAUGGCGAAGGCAGGUCUCUGGGCUGUAACUGACGCUG